rnacentral:rRNA from 1 species
GAGCUUGCUUCUCCGGAUGAGUUGCGAACGGGUGAGUAACGCGUAGGUAGCCUGCCUGGUAGCGGGGGAUAACUAUUGGAAACGAUAGCUAAUACCGCAUAAUAGCAGUUGUUGCAUGACAACUGCUUGAAAGGUGCAAUUGCAUCACUACCGGAUGGACCUGCGUUGUAUUAGCUAGUUGGUGAGGUAACGGCUCACCAAGGCGACGAUACAUUAGCCGACCUGAGAGGGUGAUCGGCCACACUGGGACUGAGACACGGCCCAGACUCCUACGGGAGGCAGCAGUAGGGAAUCUUCGGCAAUGGACGGAAGUCUGACCGAGCAACGCCGCGUGAGUGAAGAAGGUUUUCGGAUCGUAAAGCUCUGUUGUAAGAGAAGAACGAGUGUGAGAGUGGAAAGUUCACACUGUGACGGUAUCUUACCAGAAAGGGACGGCUAACUACGUGCCAGCAGCCGCGGUAAUACGUAGGUCCCGAGCGUUGUCCGGAUUUAUUGGGCGUAAAGCGAGCGCAGGCGGUUAGAUAAGUCUGAAGUUAAAGGCUGUGGCUUAACCAUAGUACGCUUUGGAAACUGUUUAACUUGAGUGCAAGAGGGGAGAGUGGAAUUCCAUGUGUAGCGGUGAAAUGCGUAGAUAUAUGGAGGAACACCGGUGGCGAAAGCGGCUCUCUGGCUUGUAACUGACGCUGAGGCUCGAAAGCGUGGGGAGCAAACAGGAUUAGAUAACCUGGUAGUCCACGCCGUAAACGAUGAGUGCUAGGUGUUAGACCC